ACCUGUCACCUUCAGAAGAUAAAGUUGUCAUUGGAAGAGAGAGACAAAGCACGGAGAGUUAACGCAUCAUAUUAGAAAGCAAUGAUUGUUACAAGGAAGAUAGAUCAAGGAGGGAAGGCAGAGCAUGGCAGAGGUAGGGAUGCAUUGUUAAGAGAACCUGGUGUGCCAGAUCAACAUGUAACACAUACACACAUAUAUAAUCUGUGUAUAAUACACAUGAGUUUACAGAUUGCAGAUAUGUCUGCUCUUUUUAUGUGUAACGGAGAAGUGCCUUUAACACAACGUAACAUGUCACUUUGUACCCAGCUCUAAACAGCUAGUGCUAUAGAGUGACUGGAAAAGACCCCAAGCCACUUUCUCUGGCACAUCCAAAUGCUCAGAUCCUAGUUUUCCAUUUCCUCCUUUGGCCUAAAGCAGUCAUUCUCAAACUCAUAUAAUAUGUAUGAGUCCGAUAUAUAUCACAGUUACCUCAAGUGCUUGUUGAAACACAGAUCCUGGGCCCCACUCUCAGAAUUCUGUGAUUCAGGCCACAUGGAGUAGACAGGUGAAUUUGCAUUUCUACCAGAGUCCAGGUACUACUGAUACUGUUGGUUUAAGGACCACACUCUGAGACCCACUAAGUUAGGGAAACUGCCUAAUAAAACAAAUCAACUAUGGAAGAAGGGAUGCACCCGUUCCUUGUGUGUUCUAGGCAUUAUCAGACUAUCUGCCUUUGAAAAGUAAAAUCCUCAAGAAGUGAAACUUAUUUUUUAAUGGACUAUGCAUCAGAAGCUAAAGCCCAAGGUACCAAGCCUUCAGGAAGUAAAGCAAGACACACAUCUAGAGCAGGAGGUGACAAUGAUAUUUUGUUGUUUUCUUAUGGACACUCAGUAUUUUAUCGCUGUGUCUGCAAGCCAUUUUGGACUCUUACUUCCUCCUUACCAGUGACCCUAGGACACAGAACACUUCACAGAUAAUGGAAUUGGUACACAAAGAGGCAUAUGGCCUCCCAAGGUUGAAAAGCUUCAGUGGCCUUUAUCAGGUCCCAAGUCUCUCCUCCUGUGACUGUCUUCAUUGUAUUAGGUGAAGCUCCAUCUUGGGAAGUUGCUCUGCAGGGCAUAUAUGUUCUUUGCUUCCAUCCACAUGAGUGACUAACUGGCAAGUUCUGAGCCCUGCGUGGGUUCUUUGUACUGUAAACUCUUCUCCUACUGGGCAGUGUACAGCUGAAAUACUAACUCAUUUUAUUAAUAGCCUGAGCUAGAACUAAUCACUACAAAAACAAACCUGCUAGGAGAAAGCACACACAACAUUUGCCAAAGAAAUGGAAAUGACGUCUUGAUUCCAUGUACCACCACUUCUAUUCCAUUAAUAGACAUAAUUGAACAUUUUCUCCAUCACUAACACAUACAGCAAAGUGAAUGUGUUUUCAACUGGAUGGCUCAUAUAUCACAUUCUUGGAUGCUCAAACUUCCUCCCUCCCUCCCCGCCCCCCACUAAAAAGAACUGGAGGAUAAAAUCACCCUUCCUGGUACUUACUGUUUUAGUUAUGUUCUCAAACACUCCUCAUGAUGGAAGUCUGGGUCCCCACUGAACCUCACAGGUGGUAGCUCUGUCUGUGGAGUUUAGAAUUUUAGUUCUAAUUUUCCCUCCUCUGUCUCACAAAUGCUCUGGUGUUAUGAAAAUAUCCUCCCAUGCAUAUUGUUACUUGGACUCUCAUUUAUCCCAUAAACAUUAUAAAGCCUUGGGCCCUAUAAAGGCUAAUAAACAGACUACAGAAGCAAGUUACAGAUAAUUACAUUCUCUAAACAUUUGGGAAUACUCAGAAGGCAUGGACCUUAGUCCACGGAUGCUCCUCUCCAUUUUCAUUCUUCCUAUUCAGCGUAUGCUCUUAAAAAUUGAACUGUUGAGUUAUUUCAGCUUCAAGACAAAAGAGACACCAUUAGGAAAUAUGCUGUACCUGAAGGAACAUUGAGCUAGGGAAGAAACACUAGCCUGAGCUCUGGGCAUAGGCAAGGUUGGUUAUGUGUUGGCAGCUCAAAGGCAAUGUAUAUAGAGAGCAGUCUAGGAUCUAGCGUCUGCCAUAUUAUUCCACAUGUGUACCAUGGAGAAAGAAUAUCAUGGGUUGUACAUAUAUAGAUAGCACUUGGAGGAUCGGGGCGGCGGGGGGUGGGGGGAAAUGACAUUGAGGAAAGAUCCAGUGUGAGUGUAUGGUUGGUGAGAUUAAUUCCAACGUGUACUAAGAAAAUAACCAGUUCUGAAAAGAAUAAAUGCUAGUCCGUAACACAAGGAAUGAACAGAUAAUGAGUUGGGUUGUGGAAGAGAAUGGGAAGCAUAGGAUUCAUCUGGCUCUCUUGUUUCAGAUCCCUUGAAAGGAGAUUCAGACCAUGAUCCUACAAAGUGGUUGUGGGGGCGAUGUGCUUGUGUUCAUGCACACACUGCGUAUUCACAAAUACAUAUGGAUGAGACAGUCAUUGUAAACCAAUAAUAGCUUCUCACGAGGACGUAAACUCUUUGGGUGAAUUCCAGUUCCACAAUCUAGAAAGAAAGACAGGUAAAGGGAACCAAAAGUAGACACAGAAGUGAAAGGGGACCUUGUAAUUCUGGUGACCAUGACCACACCUGCCUUCCCUUUCUACUGGGCCAGAGAAGUGGUCACAGCUUAAGAGACACCACUCUUCUUUAGCCUAGAUUUUGUCACUACUGGAAUUCCAAGUAAAGAUUCUGGAAUAAGCCCAUCAGAUCUGUCCUUUGAAAUCUAUUUCUUCCAGCUCUACCAGCCUAUCCAGGGGGAGGAAGUUUUGUAGCUUAGGUGCUUCAUCCAGGCUUGCCAAAGGGCAUCAAGUAUACCACUGACAUGGUAAUAUACUUGUGCCUACCAUGGGCUGGGCCCAUCAUGGGUAGCUAGAGAGAGACUUUGAAGACUUGAAAAUAGCAGUGAUGGAGAAGUAGUUUCUGUAUAUCUACAUUUCAGUGUCCAGGGUGGCAGGAUAAGGAACGUUACUCUAUCUGUAAGGAUAUCCAGAGAUUCUGUUUCCUGUCGGUACUGACCAUUCAGUGGUCCCCAUACCCAUGAGCAAAGUUAAGUUUGUAGGUAUGGCUAUACUGUCUGUGGCUACGUGGUGGUUUGGGCUUGCAUUUGGGUGAAUAAAUGACCCAAGGUGGAUAGGAGUUAAAAUAUAGUUGACAGAGAAAUAGUUUAUAUAUCAGCAUGGUAGACCCUCUGAGGGUAAUCCUUCAACAUAGCAUUCCCUGUGUUGUUUGGGAAUCUCACAGAUUCCUGAGGACUCUUGUAGGCAUCUUGGCCUCCCGAGGAGCAAGGUGGUGAUAAGCCUGGUUUCUAUGGCUGAGUUCAUCUAAGGUCAUCUGGGAGCUUGGAGUGAAUGUAGGCAGCACCACACUGCUCACUCUUCUGUGUUUCCCUUCCGGGUUGAAGUGUCUGACAUGUUGCUUCAUAUUUUAGCAUUUCUGAAACUACCUAACAGAACACUUGCUGAAAAGCUAUAGAUAAUAAUCCUCAAAACUAGGCCAUCACAGUCACCCAGGUACGCUCUACCUACCCUGAAAUGCCACACAGACAAGCUUAGUAAUGGAGCUCGCCAUCAAAGAGGGAGCCUUUACAAUGUCUGAUUGGUUGGUUGGUGUUGCAGAAUAAAAAUGAUGACAUCACAGCAAAAGGCUUAUAUGAGUAGAGGCCUCCGGGAGAGGACGUAUUGUCAUUGCCUCAGCAUUUCUGGCUUCUGAGGAGCUGAGGGAUUCAGAAAUUAAAGUGAGAUAGUAAAACAA
rnacentral:lncRNA from 1 species